rnacentral:rRNA from 1 species
UGCCAGCAGCCGCGGUAAUACGGAGGGGGCGAGCGUUGUUCGGAAUUACUGGGCGUAAAGCGCACGUAGGCGGAUUGGUCAGUUGGGGGUGAAAUCCCGAGGCUUAACCUCGGAACUGCCCUCAAUACUGCCAAUCUAGAGAUCGGAAGAGGUAAGUGGAAUUCCUAGUGUAGAGGUGAAAUUCGUAGAUAUUAGGAAGAACACCAGUGGCGAAGGCGGCUUACUGGUCCGAUACUGACGCUGAGGUGCGAAAGCGUGGGGAGCAAACAGGAUUAGAUA